GACGAACGCUGGCGGCGUGCUUAACACAUGCAAGUCGAGCGGUAAGGCCCUUUCGGGGUACGACGAGCGGCGAACGGGUGAGUAACACGUGGGUGACCUGCCCUCAGCUCUGGGAUAAGCCUGGGAAACCGGGUCUAAUACCGGAUAUGACUCCAUGACGCAUGUUGUGGGGUGGAAAGCCUUGUGCGGCUGAGGAUGGGCCCGCGGCCUAUCAGCUUGUUGGUGGGGUGAUGGCCUACCAAGGCGACGACGGGUAGCCGGCCUGAGAGGGCGACCGGCCACACUGGGACUGAGACACGGCCCAGACUCCUACGGGAGGCAGCAGUGGGGAAUCUUGCGCAAUGGGCGAAAG
rnacentral:rRNA from 1 species